rnacentral:rRNA from 1 species
GACGAACGCUGGCGGCGUGCUUAACACAUGCAAGUCGAACGGUAAGGCCCUUCGGGGUACACGAGUGGCGAACGGGUGAGUAACACGUGGGUGAUCUGCCCUGCACUUCGGGAUAAGCCUGGGAAACUGGGUCUAAUACCGGAUAGGACUCCUGGCUUCAUGGUUGGGGGUGGAAAGCUUUUGCGGUGUGGGAUGGGACCGCGGCCUAUCAGCUUGUUGGUGGGGUAAUGGCCUACCAAGGCGACGACGGGUAGCCGGCCUGAGAGGGUGACCGGUAACACUGGGACUGAGCUACGGCCCAGACUCCUACGGGAGGCAGCAGUGGGGAAUAUUGCACAAUGGGCGCAAGCCUGAUGCAGCGACGCCGCGUGAGGGAUGACGGCCUUCGGGUUGUAAACCUCUUUCAGCUAUGACGAAGCGCAAGUGACGGUAGUAGCAGAAGAAGGACCGGCCAACUACGUGCCAGCCGCCGCAGUAAGAC